UACGAAGGGGGCUAGCGUUGCUCGGAAUUACUGGGCGUAAAGCGCACGUAGGCGGUCUUUUAAGUCGGGGGUGAAAUCCUGGAGCUCAACUCCAGAACUGCCUCGAUACUGGAAGACUCGAGUCCGGGAGAGGUGAGUGGAACUGCGAGUGUAGAGGUGAAAUUCGUAGAUAUUCGCAAGAACACCAGUGGCGAAGGCGGCUCACUGGCCCGGUACUGACGCUGAGGUGCGAAAGCGUGGGGAGCAAACAGG
rnacentral:rRNA from 1 species